GGAUGUGUGGAGAUGCUGCGUGGAUGGUUUUCCAUUUCUCCGACCUCAUUAAUGGACAAUGUCACGUCUUUUGAAGAUCCUGUCUAUGGAGGAUUUAGUAGUCUGUAUGGGAGGCAAGAACAUGUAUUUACACAAUCAUGAGGCUAGGCGCCUUAAGGAAAAGCUACGCAAGGAAGAAUCUGGUUUGUCAGAUGAUACAAUCUCAAGGCGUUUGUGGACUUAAAACUUAAAUAUUAUGUUGUAGCCUCAACAGUUCUGCAUUCAGAGGAAUCACCUGUCACGGAACAAAAUUGGGAAUUUUCUGAUGAAAGGGCAAGGAGAUUACAUGAAUCCUCUUCCUUUAAUUCAUAGAAUAUUUAUCUUGUCUUUAUGCUAUUGAAAGAUGCAGUAUGGUGCUCCGGUUUUGAGCAGCGUGUGCUAAGGAUACUUCUGACAGCAAUCAUUCUGAAAGUAAACACAGCCCUGACAGCAAUCAUUCUGAAAGUAAACACAGCCCUGACAGCAAUCAUGGCAACAAUAAUUCCAGCAGUAAUCACGGUAGAAGGAGCUGCAAGUCUCAGCCUGCAGUUACAGCAAGAUUUCAAGCAAUCAAUCCAAAGAAUCCUAGCACUAAUGCCAUGAUCAUUCAAGCAAGAUCACAGGAGAUUCCAAUCAUUCCAGCAAGAUCACUCUGGCAGUAAUCACAACAUGAACUGCAAUUAUGUUUUCUAGCACAUGACAAGCUCGUUAUCCUCCCAAUCAACCAUAAUUGUAAUCUCAAGUAAAUGCUAAGAGAAUCACUAUGAGUGUGUUUGGUAUUGUGGUAGCUUUUGUGGUUGCGGUUUGUAAAAAGCAGUUUCAUAAAAAGUACUUUUUGUGAGGUUGAUUUUUAAAAAAAUUGGUGUUUGGUAAAAACUGUGGUUGAAGUUGUGGUUUUAAAAAAAGCAGUUUUAGGUGUUUGGUUACAAAACUGUGGUUCAACAAUUGUGGUUGAAAAAAAGCAGUUUUGUGUUUGGUAAAAACCGUGGUUCAAAAAAAAAUUUCUUGUAUUUUGUUAAUAUGGUUUGUGUUUUAUAUUUGAUUGGAAUUAAAUAUUU